AUUAUUUAUAAGACUGGCCUCAGUUUUCAAAAAUUAAUUUAUCCUUGUCUCUACUGAUUCUGCUUCAGUUUCAGGAAACUGGGAAAAAGAAAGGAAUAAGUCUGAUUUAGAAAAGGUGAAAAACUGUUAGAUGCUGAUCUUACUUUGGACCCCAAAACAGCUUGUGCAAGAUUGGAAGUAUCUGAAGAUGAGAAGAGUAUGAGGGACACUGGAUUUUUUUUUCCUGAAGUUUCUAAGAUUCUAAGAAUGAGAUUUAAUUUCCACCCAUUUGUCUUGGCAAAACAAGGAUUUUCUGAAGGCAAAUAUUACGGGUUGU